rnacentral:lncRNA from 1 species
AUGAGGCACCAGCAGUGCAAACAUAGGCGGCAGAAUGUUUCCUCCCUCCCCCGCCCCCCUGCCCUCACUGCCAUGAGGGAUCUAUUCACCUCCCAGAAGCAAGCCUGCCGGCAGGAGCACAUCCGGAAGGAGACUGCCGCCCAGGUCGCCUGGAACACCAGCUAUGGCCACAAGCACCUGAAGGAGGGACCCUUGCCCAGGAAGCGGCUCCAAAAGGCCCCCUUCAGGGAGGAUUUGCAGCCAACGGGCAUUUGGGAAGCUAGUUCAGCCUUGGACAGGACCCUGGAGGUGUUUACCGUGGAGCAUUGGGAUGGCUGGGGAAUCACUAGACAAGGGGAGAAAUGUGAUGAGGGGGGAAUCCAUGAAGGACACCAGGGCUCCAGCUUAUGCCAGCUCAUCACAAAGAGCUUUUACAUCAAAAGUAGCAUCUUCCAUGUCCCACGGCGAACAGACCAGCAGAUGUGA